UUCAGUAUACUUGGUUCUCUGAAUUGAGUAAAAGUAUAGUAAAAAUAAAGUAUAUUUGGUCGGGUAAAAUAGACUUUAUCCUUUUUUUUUCUCGUUUGUUGUCAUUUUCGUUUUUAAUGGCGGCCUGCUGUCAUUUAAAAUGAAUCAAUAUAUUACUUUUAGAAAAGGGCCGACUGCUCGUGAAGAGAACGAUGGAAUAUAUAGAUUCGGCUAGGAAACUUGUCGAGAAAGGUAUAAUUGUAUUCUUAUAUCAUCAUGUUCAUCAUGAUUUCAUAUUCAUAUAUCAUGUUUCCCUAGUACAAAACGUGUUUUAAAUACUCUUUUUUACUUUUUCAGCUUUUUUGCUUUUUUAGAUAAACUGAGACGAGAGUUUGGUACCUUCUCAAACAGGCAUAAUUUCAAUCUAAUUAAUUGUAUCUGAGAUUUUUUUACCAUAUUAUUUUACUAACAGGAAGCCCUCUUUUUGCCGUAUCAAAACUGUUGGCAACUGGUCUUGUAAAUCUGAACAGGGUAGAAGUUCUUUGGCGUCCUGUAACAAAUCCCCUGCUGGGAAAAAUCCCCUUGUUUCUUAAUAUCAUAGGAGCUAUCAACAAUUCUCAAGGAGAAAAUUCAGUACGCUCCGCGUUCCAGUGUUUACAAUUGGUGGUAAGGGAUUAUCUCCCUGUUUUACCAUGGAACUGCCUGCCUUCAGCAGUCGAAACGACCGGAAAAUUUGGAUCACAAACACAAGAUCUCAACGUUUCUCUCACAGCAAUUGGUCUUAUGGUGUAAUUUCGAUUAUAUUAAUUGUAUUUUUGGAGUGCCUAGAAGUGUAGAAGAAUAGUCAAAGGUACACGUCGGCUUUUUAGCUGUUUUGGACAAAGAGACACAUUUAUCUAAAAAUAGUUGGUACAUUCUCAAACAAAUAUAAUUUUGAUUAUAUUAAUUGUAUUUAUCAUGUUAUAUCAAUUACUUUAUCACAUUAUUUUACUUUUAUUUAGUAAAUUGUCUUUAAAAUAACUGAAACAAUUUAUACAGUUUAAUGUGUGCUGUA